rnacentral:rRNA from 1 species
AACGAACGCCGGCGGCAUGCCUAACACAUGCAAGUCGAACGAGACCUUCGGGUCUAGCGGCGCACGGGUGCGUAACGCGUGGGACCCUGCCCUUAGGUUCGGAAUAACCCCCCGAAAGGGGUGCUAAUACCGGAUAAUGUCUUCGGACCAAAGAUUUAUCGCCCUUGGAUGCGUUCGUAUUGGAUUAGCUAGUUGGUAGGGUAAAAGCCUACCAAGGCGACGAUCCAUAGCUGCUCUGAGAGGAUGAUCAGCCACACUGAGACUGAGACAAGGCCCAGACUCCUACGGGAGGCAGCAGUGGGGAAUAUUGCACAAUGGGCGAAUGCCUGAUCCAGCAAUGCCUCGUGAGUGAUGAAGGCCUUAGGGUUGUAAAGCUCUUUUACCCGGGAUGAUAAUGGCAUUACCGAGAGGAUAAGCUCCGGCUAACUCCGUG